UUAAAAAAUGAAACAAAAUAUUGUCAAAUUAUAUUAUGUUUUUUAAAUUAAAAGGUAAAAUAAAAAUAAAAAAAUAAUACUAAUUACAAAAUAUAUAUUUUUAAUAUCGUCGACAAAACUCUAAAUCAUAAUCCUAAACCCUAAACCCUUGGGUAAACCUUAAACCCUUGGAUAAAUCCUAAACUCUAAAUCAAUAUCACUAAACACUAAAACACAAAAGGGUUUAGAGUUUAGGAUUUAGGGUUUAGAGUUUUAGUGUUUAGUUUUUUUUUAUUUAGAGUUUAGGAUUUAUCCAAGGGUUUAGGAUUUACCCAAGGGUUUAGGAUUUACCCAAGAGUUUAGGGUUUAGGGAUUAGGAUUUAGAGUUUAGUGAUUAGGAUUUAGGGUUUAGUGUUUGCUGAAAAAAAAAUUAAUUUUUUUUCUGUAAAUACUAUUUUGUUUUACUUUUUUUAUUUUAAAAAAGUAAUAUAACUUGACAAUAUUUUGUUUCCUAU
rnacentral:lncRNA from 1 species